GGUCAGCUAGUUGCUAUGCUUUCAAACCGUUCAAAUUUUUUACACGAUUUCAAUAUUAGUUUUGCAAAACGACAGCACGCCCGCAUUACUUGAAGGUCACACGUGGUUUUUAUCGAUUUUUUAUCUGUUAUCAACACCAAUCCAUUUAACUGACUUAGUCGACUUGCGUGGACUGCCAUCUAAUAAUAGCUAUUGACGGUUGUAUCUAUAUCUAUAGCAAUUGGUUACCCCGUGACAUGUAAACUGUGUCUGCCGUUGAAAUUUCUUGCAUGAUAAAAUAACGCUUAUCCAAGGACUGAUACCACACGAGGGAAUGCGGUGUCCGUUUUCGAUGUAAGGGAUAACACAGCAGCGUUGCAAUGUUUCAAGUCCAUACUUGGGUGACAGGUUAUUACAGUUACAACCUAACUAUUUACCACGCUGAAGAGGAGGUUGAGCCUUUUUUGUCCAGCUGCUAGAUUUGGUCAGCGCAAACUGCAAUGGAGAUGGAUUUGGAUGGCUAUAGACUUAGUUUCUUCAAAAAGAAAAACCUUGCAGGUCAGCAGCGACCACAAUGUUUGAAAUAUGCGGGGAGGAAGUUAACUAGCGGUAGAGAUGGAGGACAAUGGUAGAUAUAGGAUUAGUCAAACGAGGGCGAAAAGAGGAAGACGGAAGCAAGAGACGCUUGCUGCUCUGCUCUCCCCCACGUUGGCGUCAAUGGCCUUACAACUUCCUACUAGCCCAAGCACUAAGCAGCCCUGCUUGUUACACCUGUUUAUUCAAUUACCGCUAAUGAGUCUGCUUUACCACAAAAUCACCCAUUAUCGAAUGAUACUAAAUUUGCUCAAUGCAAGAGUACUUUCUACUCGGAUGUAAUGACCUACGUUGGCUUGUUAUCAAGUUUUUUCACUCAUGAAGAUUGUGGGGCUUUUUAUCCUACAUCCGUUAGCCUGUGACACGAUGAUUGGUUCUUUUCUCACUAAGGCCGUAUAUCCUUCCGUUUGUCAGCCAUCGAAUACGAAGCAUUAUUGUUAUUACCUUCUGCAUCAAGUGAUGAACACAUAACGAAUGCCCUCCUAGAAAGAUGCAGGGACCACUUUGGAAAAGAUUGUUAGCGUAACAAGUUUUCUCCGUCUAAGGUCUAGAGAAACUUAAUAUAAAAUCCCUCCGUACGAAAGUGAGCUCCUACCGUUUUUUUGCGUGCAAUGGGCAUCCCAAUAAGGCUAUAAACAAAGACCCUUCAGUUAAUCAAGGGACAUGUUUCUCUUUUUUCAGGAAAUAUAUGUCUGCAGACUUAUAUAGAGUGUUCUCGUUCUUCUUCCUGUCUACUCCAACACGCCAUGUAUGGUUAAUACAGGAAUACAGUUAUGCUUUUUUCAUG